AACACCCCUACUCGUCCAUUGAUCUCUUGCAAAGGCUGCGCUCCUCUCUGAUACCAAAACGCUGCGUUGAGGUGGAAGCUAGGGCUCCAGUCGUGGGCCGAUUCUCAAAUUUAAGCAGUUUAUUCGAUUGCCUAUGCCACCGCUUCUCCCUCACGAUCUCUAUUGGAGUAAUACGGUGUAGCUUUUGGAGAUAGUGUUGGUUGAUGAAAUGGAUAAGGCACCUGACACACUGCAACCUUGCUCUGUUGAUAGUCUGGUGGACUUGUUACCAUCUAUUACCAGUAGUUCUUGUGGUAAUGAGUUUGAUAACCACACUAAAUGUGGUCCACAAGGUGUCAAUUGCUCAGGGUCAGGGAUACCGCUAGAUCAUCUGGUUAUGCCUUUAGCUUAUGAGUGCAUACAAUCUGAUAGGCAAACCAGUGGGUUUGGCGAGCCUACUAUCCAUCAGGAUUUGAACAAAUAAAUUUUUCUAUCUCAGGCUGGGCAGUUGCUCAUGUGGGGUUUAGUAGAUGUUUGAUCUUGUUCUGUAAGAAACUCAUUGUGAUCCCAGAUAUGUUUGAUGAGAAGAUGGUUGGGACAAACUUCUGUAAGGGACUGUCCUUCAGUUUGAGGAUUUAUAAAGCUACUUCGAAGUCUCUCAAAGGAAAUCUAUAUAUUGAAUAUGAAGCCUCAUUGGUGCAAGCAGUUGGUUCUUUUGCUGAUGUAGUGCCUGGGUUGUUUAGACCUGUAUUUGAGUUUGUAAAUAGCAAUGUGGCAAUCGAGGGUAGUUUUGGGACCCCCAUUCUGUUGCUACUGGAAGACUUUCUUGAACUCAUUUGGAGUACUUUCUGCAACAACAGUGUUUUGCGUGGUAGCUUCCAUACUAGACAAUUUAGACUCUUCUUUAUGGAGAUAAAACAAUGUUGCUAACCUGAAGCCCCCACUAGCUUAUUUUCUAUGAUUGGUUGUUUCCAUAUUGAUGCUCAUUCACGACCUUAAGAGACAGAUUAGUCGGGCUGUCAUUUGGAAGGAGUUAGACACAGAACUUGAUGGCAGUAGCGUCAAUAUUCUUGAUUCCCCUAGAUGCCUUGUUCAUUCUGAGAAAUUCCUUUACUUCACAGGCACACAUUUGAACAUCAAGUGCAAAUGAUAUUCCCUUCCUCAAAGCAAUGGAUGGAUGGAUGAUCUGAUGCAUCUUAUCUUUUUCCUUGAGUGAAACUGAGGCCAAAGGUGGAAAGGUCAUAUUCUAGUUGUGCAAAAACUACUUGCAGCUCUGAAUUAGAAAUAUUGUGUGCCAUGAAGACGAAGCCUUUUUUGGAGACCUUUUCUAUGAAGGUGGUUGUGGAACUACAGAUGGAUACGAUCAGCCAGCAGUUGUUGCUAACUCUAACUCUAGCUCCAUCUGGUUUUCAUAUUGAGAUUAUUCUCAUGUCAUUUCACUUAUCGUCUGAAGAGGAAAAAGCAUUACAUGCAAAGUUAAUAUUUUCUGCUCAAAGAACAAUUGGUGGUCCAACUUCGGUUUCCAACAGUACACAUUGUCUUGCUGGGUUUUACUGGUUUGAAGUUUGAUUUUAGUGCGUUGCCAUAUGAAAUUUUACCCACGGACUUGUCCUUCAUCUUUGCUUGUGCACCUACGAUCCAAGUUGAGGGACACUCCAUACUCCACUUCACAGCUCAGGGUGAACGAUCAUUUGUCAUCUUGAGUCUCAAUUGUAUUUCAAAAUGUAAUGACUGCAUUGUUUGAAGAAGAGCCUGACAUCAGUCCUUGAUUCAUCAACUGAUUGAUAUAUCUGCCCUCCCUGCUUCGCUGUCCACAAACAGUUGUAAUAUUGACAGAUUCUGCUUGAGUUGGGAUGACAUCUGUUCAACCAUGUCAUUGUCAUCAAUUCUGGGGUUCUGGAAAUCUAAUCAGGAUGUAGUUGUUGAGGAUCUUGUUAUUGAAAGAUACAUUUUCGUACUUUGUUGGGACUUUCCAACUAUUGGCACUGCAAAAGACCAUCAGCUUCCUUUAGGGAGCUAUCCGCAGACUCUUGGCACUUCUGGAAUAGCAAAUAUCUUUUACUUCAGCCAUUCAAUUCGAGGUCAUCGUGGUGUUGAUGUGAAAAAUAAUUUUCUUGAAGUCAUUGUUCGUCCACUUCAUGUAUCCAAUUGUAGUUAUUUGGACGAGACUUCAAAUAGAAAUGCCAUGUAAUAUGUGUAUAAACAAUAAAAGAGAUUAAAAAGGAA